UGAUUUCCUAGACAUGAGAUGAUGAACCUCAAGUACCACCCCAGACAACAAGGCUGCUUCAUCAGGACACAAACCUGCCUGUACCAGGACCUCUGACCUGUGUGCAGUGGUACCUGGAGCCUCAGUGAGACAGAACUGUUCACUUCCCUGGAAAGGGGACUGAAGCCAGGGAGCAAAGUGGUCUCACUCAGCAGGUCCCACUCCCACAGAGCCCAGCGAGCUAAGAACCACUGGCUUGAAAUUCUCUCUGCCAGUGCAACAGUCUGAAGUCAACCUGGGACAAGCGAGCUUGGUCGGGCGAGGGGCAUCCAUCAUUACCGAGGCUUGAGAAACCAGCACUGAAUUCCAAGACAAAACAACCCUUCUUAAAGACAUACAAGAAACCUUGCCUGAUAUACAAAUAUAAUAACCUUAAAAAAAAUUCACAGACCUGAG
rnacentral:lncRNA from 10 species